UUGGGAUCAGAUGGCGCAGGUAGCCUGUCCUCAGUUGUCCCAAAGGGGCAGAGGCAGGGGUGCCUGGAGCCAAGAGUUCCUGAGCCUGCAGGACCUGUGACCAUGUGGGUCACCCACUGGCUGAACAGGUGGGCUGGUCUGGAGGGGGUGGCCUCCUGAGCCCAGAACCAGCCUAGGAUCUAGGGGCACAAGGGGAGCCGGCGUGGCUUCCCACAGGGGAGGGCCCUCCUCUUUCUGGACUUGGCCUCCAUUCUUUGCAUCUGGCUCAAUGUCUGGAUUCCGCCCGGCCUUAAAAGGAGCCCUUGUGAAACCUGGGAAGCCUCGUGGCCCCGCGGCGUUGGCUCAGCUGCAGCCCUGGUCCUAAACCUUGGAGCGCAGACUUGAGGCACCCCCUCCUGCCUGUUGGUGCUGAGGGGGUUGGGUGCUGUGUCACUUGAUGACGUGGCUGACUACCACCCAGGGCAGCGGCCGAGCCCAUAGUGGCGUCAGUGCCGCCGGCGUCCUUGGGGUCCAGCGGUCAAGGCUCAGCCCGCUGAGGGGACCCCCCCGGAGUUGGUUCCAGCACUGGUCCAGGACUGGAGAGUUUCUCAAGGACCUUGAGGACCCCAGAAGCCCUUGCAGCAGGAAAGGCUGUAAGGGGGGGUCAGCCUAGGGCAGGACCUAGGGAGGGGAACUUUCUUGAUACAUAUUUGCCUUUUCAUCCCAUCUAGCAAGCACAGUGUUAAUUUUAGAAAUUAUAGAAGAAAAAAUCAGCAAGGAGUGUGGGAAAACUGCAUGCCCCAGGCCUCCCCCGCCCCAGGGUGAAUUGGAAGCCCUGGAAUGGGCCGAGGCACACCAGGCAGCUGAUCUGGGUGCAUGUGGGCCACAGACCACUCUCACAAGGUUAAAUCUUUAACAAGAGCCUCAUGUUUGUUAGGAGAAGGUGGGACCCCAGCCCAAGCACUUCCCCAUUGCAGCCUGGCAUGAAAUCUUUGCCUUUUAGUGGGGAUCACUCCUGCCCGAGUCCUGGCUGUGGUGGGGACUCUGCAAGUUGCUAACCCAGCGUCCAUUCUCUUUCCUCCGUACUAACAGAACCCCGGUGCCUCUGCCCAGUUCCAAUAGCGGGCAGACGAGAGCCAUGUCCUGGGCUCCCUUGCAGCCCGGGGUGUGCAGCUGUGGCGUGGAGGUGGGUGGUGCUGGGAGAGACUUGCAGGGAAGCUCCUGUGAAGGGGACUCAGCUGCCACAUGCAGGACCCUUCCCCUUUGCCUUCUUCCUGCCUGGAACAUGGAUGUGAUGGCUGGUGCUGGGACAGCUGUCCUGAGAGCGUGAGGAAAGGGUCACACCCUAAGGACAGUGGAGCAGAACACAGGAAGGACCCUGGGCCUUUGCUGACGCAGAACGCGGGAAGGACCCUGGGCCUUUGCUGACAUACCAGCCCCAGACUACUUAAAUUCAGCUUUUUUUUUAAUGUGAGAAAAUAAAUGCACCCCUCUCUGGUUU
rnacentral:lncRNA from 1 species